UAACCCCUGGGUGAUGCCAGCUCAGAGGGAGCUGGUGGUGUAACCCAUCCACAUGCACACCUCUCCCUUUGAAGCCUCCCAGCCAGUUCGUGUCUCACUUCACCUCCAAGGACCAAGCCAGUAGCAAAAUCAAAGAGAAUGUGCAGAUGGCACCCGGGUUCUGUCCCUUUCACAGUGUCCUGCCUGCCCCCAGCACAGCAUCACUGCUGGCUGGAGCAUGUCACCACCGCUGGGCUCUGAGCCGCAGCGGCAGAGAUGGCCCUGGAGAAGGAUGGGGAUGGGAAUGUGUGGGAGCUGCAUCCCACCAGUGACAGCUCCCCCAGGACGGCUCCAGGCUUUGCCUUCACACCGAGCAUUCACCCAAGCUCCCCAGCCCCUUGUGUCCAGAGCACCAGGGUGCAACCCAUGCCGUUCCUCUAGCAUUAAUAAAGCCAUUAAUUAACUAAUAGAUUGCUACUAAUUGACUACUAGAAAUGCCACUUUGCAAUGCCUCAGUCUGGAUCACGGUGGUAAGCGGGCUCAAGGAGGCAGAAGACAUUUUAAUGCCAGGGCGGCUGUUUAAUACAGGCAAACCCUCCCCGGGUCGCUUCUGAAGCCCCACGCACACCGAGCACAGGCCAACAUAGGCAAAACAACGCGACAGAUGAGCCGGGUUUCCCAGGAGAAAAACCCAAACGGGAGGAGAGGAGCCCGGCCGCAGGCUGCACAGAGCCGCUUUUCAUUACAAAGGGCCAGGAAACAUCUCGGAGCUGCCAGCAACACCGACACCAUGCAAGAGGGAAUCUAUCAGGCUGAUGCAGCAACAAAGGCAGUUAAAUCUAGCCAGGGGGAAUUAUUUUGGGUAAUCCGUGCGUUGCUGCUCGUUGAGCGCUGGAGCAGAAGUAAGCAGCGGGUGGGAUGUGAAAUGAACCCAAGGGCUGUAAUGAGCCGUGCCGGCGGAGGCAGCGCCAGCUCAGUGAGCUGUGCUGCUGUGCAGGGACCCAUGGCCUCCCACUGUCCCA